GCCGGGCAUGGUGACUCAUGCCUGUAAUCCCUGCACUUUGGGAGGCCGAGAUGGGGGAAUCAGCUGAGGUCAGGAGUUCAAAACCAGCCUGGCCAACAUGGUGAAACCCCAUCUCUA
ensembl:misc_RNA Metazoa_SRP Metazoan signal recognition particle RNA